rnacentral:rRNA from 1 species
UACAGGGGGUGCAAACGUUGCUCGGAAUCAUUGGGCGUAAAGCGCACGUAGGCGGUUCGUUAUGUCGGAUGUGAAAGCCCUUGGCUUAACCGAGGAAGUGCACCCGAAACUGGCGAGCUAGAGUACGAAAGAGGAUCGCGGAAUUCCCGGUGUAGAGGUGAAAUUCGUAGAUAUCGGGAGGAACACCGGUGGCGAAGGCGGCGAUCUGGGUCGAUACUGACGCUGAGGUGCGAAAGCGUGGGGAGCAAACAGG